rnacentral:rRNA from 1 species
GAUGAACGCUGGCGGCGUGCCUAAUACAUGCAAGUCGAGCGAACGGACGAGAAGCUUGCUUCUCUGAUGUUAGCGGCGGACGGGUGAGUAACACGUGGAUAACCUACCUAUAAGACUGGGAUAACUUCGGGAAACCGUAGCUAAUACCGGAUAAUAUUUUGAACCGCAUGGUUCAAAAGUGAAAGACGGUCUUGCUGUCACUUAUAGAUGGAUCCGCGCUGCAUUAGCUAGUUGGUAAGGUAACGGCUUACCAAGGCAACGAUGCAUAGCCGACCUGAGAGGGUGAUCGGCCACACUGGAACUGAGACACGGUCCAGACUCCUACGGGAGGCAGCAGUAGGGAAUCUUCCGCAAUGGGCGAAAGCCUGACGGAGCAACGCCGCGUGAGUGAUGAAGGUCUUCGGAUCGUAAAACUCUGUUAUUAGGGAAGAACAUAUGUGUAAGUAACUGAGCACAUCUUGACGGUACCUAAUCAGAAAGCCACGGCUAACUACGUG